GACGAACGCUGGCGGCGUGCUUAACACAUGCAAGUCGAACGCUGAAGCUUGGUGCUUGCACUGGGUGGAUGAGUGGCGAACGGGUGAGUAAUAAGUGAGUAACCUGCCCUUGACUCUGGGAUAAGCCUGGGAAACUGGGUCUAAUACUGGAUACGACAUGUCACCGCAUGGUGGUGUGUGGAAAGGGUUUUACUGGUUUUGGAUGGGCUCACGGCCUAUCAGCUUGUUGGUGGGGUAAUGGCUCACCAAGGCGACGACGGGUAGCCGGCCUGAGAGGGUGACCGGCCACACUGGGACUGAGACACGGCCCAGACUCCUACGGGAGGCAGCAGUGGGGAAUAUUGCACAAUGGGCGGAAGCCUGAUGCAGCGACGCCGCGUGAGGGAUGACGGCCUUCGGGUUGUAAACCCCUUUCAGCACGGAAGAAGCGAAAGUGACGGUACGUGCAGAAGAAGCGCCGGCUAACUACGUG
rnacentral:rRNA from 1 species